rnacentral:rRNA from 1 species
UACGUAGGGUGCGAGCGUUAAUCGGAAUUACUGGGCGUAAAGCGUGCGCAGGCGGUUUUGUAAGUCAGAUGUGAAAUCCCCGGGCUUAACCUGGGAAUGGCAUUUGGGACUGCAAGGCUUGAGUUUGGCAGAGGAGACUGGAAUUCCUGGUGUAGCAGUGAAAUGCGUAGAUAUCAGGAGGAAUACCGAUGGCGAAGGCAGGUCUCUGGGCUAGAACUGACGCUCAUGCACGAAAGCGUGGGGAGCAAACAGG